UACGUAGGCAGCAAGCGUUGUUCGGAGUUACUGGGCGUAAAGGGUGCGUAGGCGGCCCUGUAAGUAUGGUGGUGAAAAUCUCCCGGCUUAACUGGGAGGGUGCGCUAUAGACUGCGGGGCUCGAGUGUGGGAGAGGAAAGUGGAAGUUCCUGGUGUAGCGGUGAAAUGACGUAGAUAUCAGGAGGAACACCGGUGGUGUAAACGGCUUUCUGGACCAUAACUGACGCUGAGGCACGAAAGCGUGGGUAGCAAACAGG
rnacentral:rRNA from 1 species